rnacentral:rRNA from 1 species
UACGUAGGUGGCAAGCGUUGUCCGGAUUUACUGGGCGUAAAGAGCGCGCAGGCGGUCGGUCAAGUCGCGUGUGAAAGCCCCCGGCUCAACUGGGGAGGGUCACGCGAUACUGAUCGACUCGAAGGCAGGAGAGGGUAGUGGAAUUCCCGGUGUAGUGGUGAAAUGCGUAGAUAUCAGGAGGAACACCGGUGGCGAAGGCGGCUCUCUGGACGGUGACUGACGCUGAGACGCGAAAGCGUGGGGAGCAAACAGG